rnacentral:lncRNA from 1 species
CCUGUGGCAGGUAGACUUCAUUGGCAAAGCAGCCCCUGAGAAAAUGUAGGUAACAGGGGAGGGGACUUUCGGGAAUUUAUCAUCUGGUGGGCACUGCUUCUACCACAGCCUUUAUAUGAUUUAGUUGGGAGUACAGGAAGUUUGGGAUAGUAGCCCAAACUUAAUGCAUCUCCUAGCUUUUUGUUAUUCUUUGCAGGUGUCCAGAGCCUAAAGUAGAGGAGAAGGCAUAGCAGAAAUUGGGUGUGCUGUUUUUGCAGCAGCAGUAGGAAGCUUUGUCAGAG